GGAAGCCGGUGAGACUCCGGCGCGGUCGCGCCACUGUGACUCCAGCAUUCCUGGAGAAGUCAGAC
rnacentral:ncRNA from 2 species